rnacentral:rRNA from 1 species
CCGUCAUGCCCUUAGAUGUUCUGGGCCGCACGCGCGUUACAAUGGAACGUAAAGCGAGUGCUGCAAUAGUGAUCCCGGGGCCGAGAGGCUUUGGUAACCAUCAAAACGUUCCCUGCCUGGGACAGAUCAUUGAAAUUAUUGGUCUCUAACGAGGAA